rnacentral:tRNA from 1 species
GGGGCAAUAACUCAGUUGGUAGAGUAACGGCCUUUUAAGCCGUGAGUCGGGAGUUCGAAUCUCCCUUGCCCUA